rnacentral:rRNA from 1 species
UACGAAGGGGGCUAGCGUUGCUCGGAAUCACUGGGCGUAAAGGGUGCGUAGGCGGGCAGGUAAGUCCGUGGUGAAAUCUCUGAGCUUAACUCAGAAACUGCCAUGGAUACUAUUUGUCUUGAAUAUUGUGGAGGUAAGCGGAAUAUGUCAUGUAGCGGUGAAAUGCUUAGAUAUGACAUAGAACACCAAUUGCGAAGGCAGCUUACUACACAGUUAUUGACGCUGAGGCACGAAAGCGUGGGGAUCAAACAGG